GUGACAAUGACAACCACCAGUUAGACUGAGACAGCAAGACAUCUUGGACAGGCACAGUCUCCAUGUUAAAAGAUCCAAUCCUCCACUUGGUGAGAUUUGAGUGAAGAAUCAGGCCCAUCAUUUGUCAAAGGCUUUGGGAUCCUUUUGGAAUUAAAGGCAUGAUAGAAAGGGCUAGAGAACAAACAGGCCCCAUCAACUAUUCAAAGGAAACAACGUUGCAAUAAAGUGCAAAGAAACAGCUGCAUGAAGCUUUUUCAAGGAUCACUAAUGAAGUCAACAUGUGCUACAGAUCAAACAGGGAAACUAAUACCAGAUGAGAACUGAAGUAAUCAGAAUAGACACAGACCUAACAGCAACCAUUUUGUACCAUAAGAAGCAAAAAAACCCCAAGCAUUAAGUACCUGAGAGUUCAUGUUCUGAUGACUGUUGCCCUUCUCCCUCCCUCUCUGCACCAGUCUUACCUGAAGAGAGCAGGGUGCAGGUAGCUA